UAAUCGAGUGUCUAGGGAUGCUGACAGGUUUACUUUGAAAAAAUUAGAGUGCUCAAAGCAGGCUAUUACGCUUGAAUAUUAGUGCAUGGAAUAAUAGAAUAGGAAGUUGUUUCUAUUUUGUUGGUUUUCGGAAAUCGACUUAAUGAUUAAUAGGGACAGUCGGGGGCAUUUGUAUUCAAACGACAGAGGUGAAAUUCUUGGACCGUUUGAAGACAAACUACUGCGAAGGCAUUUGCCAAGAAUGUUUUCAUUAAUCAAGAACGAAAGUUAGAGGUUCGAAGGCGAUUAGAUACCGCCCUAGUUCUAACCAUAAACGAUGCCAGCUAGCGAUCUGAGGACGUUUUUUUUGUAGACUCCUCAGGAAGCUUCCGGGAAACCAAAGCGUGUGGGUUCCGGGGGAAGUAUGGUUGCAAAGCUGAAACUUAAAGGAAUUGACGGAAGGGCACCACCAGGAGUGGAGCCUGCGGCUUAAUUUGACUCAACACGGGAAAUCUCACCAGGCCCGGACACUGGAAGGAUUGACAGAUUGAGAGCUCUUUCUCGAUUCGGUGGGUGGUGGUGCAUGGCCGUUCUUAGUUGGUGGAGUGAUUUGUCUGGUUAAUUCCGAUAACGAACGAGACUCUGUCCUGCUAAAUAGUGUCAGCCUCUCUUUUGGGCUGACAAUUCUUCUUAGAGGGACUGGCGGCUCCUAGCCGCACGAGAUAGAGCAAUAACAGGUCUGUGAUGCCCUUAGAUGUUCUGGGCAGCACGCGCGCUACACUGAAUAGAUCAGCGUGUUCUCCCUUUCUGAGAAGAACGGGUAAACCGCUGAACCCUAUUCGUGGUAGGGAUCGGGGCUUGCAAUUAUUCCCCGUGAACCAGGAAUUCCCAGUAGGCGCGAGUCAUAAGCUCGCGUCGAUUACGUCCCUGCCCUUUGUACACACCGCCCGUCGCUACUACCGAUUGAACGUUUUAGUGAGGUCCACGGACUGUUUGCAGAGCGGAUUAUUCUGCCUUGCUGGCGGGAAG
rnacentral:rRNA from 1 species